rnacentral:rRNA from 1 species
UUGUAAGUGUUUAAGGGCGCAUGGUGGAUGCCUUGGCACUGGGAGCCGAUGAAGGACGUUGGAGGCUGCGAUAUGCCUCGGGGAGCUGCCAACCGAGCGUUGAUCCGAGGAUGUCCGAAUGGGGAAACCCAGCACGAGUGAUGUCGUGUUACCUGUAUCUGAAUACAUAGGGUGCAGGAGGGAACGCGGGGAAGUGAAACAUCUCAGUACCCGUAGGAAGAGAAAACAAAAGUGAUUCCGUGAGUAGUGGCGAGCGAAAGCGGAGGAUGGCUAAACCGUAUGCAUGUGAGACCGGGUAGGGGUUGUGUGUGCGGGGUUGUGGGAC